rnacentral:rRNA from 1 species
UACGGAGGGGGCUAGCGUUGUUCGGAAUUACUGGGCGUAAAGCGCGCGUAGGCGGACCUGCAAGUCGGGGGUGAAAGCCCGAGGCUCAACCUCGGAACUGCCUUCGAUACUGCGGGUCUCGAGUCCGGGAGAGGUGAGUGGAAUUCCUAGUGUAGAGGUGAAAUUCGUAGAUAUUAGGAAGAACACCGAUGGCGAAAGCAGCUCUCUGGGACGGUACUGACGCUGAGGCGCGAAAGCGUGGGGAGCGAACAGG